GUUGAAUUAAUAAUAAAAUAGACACCAUUGUUACAGGUGCAUUAAAAAAAGUAAAUUAUGUAUGGACAACAGCUGAUGUAUGGUCUGCAAAGAGAAGUUUUAUGGGUGUAACCGUUCACUGGGCACUGGAUUGAUGAAGACUCGUUAGAGUAAAAAUCAACUAGCCUAGCAUGUCGCCGUUUUAGAGAUGGUACACACGAUGGAAUCGUGAAAAUAUUACAUAAUAUUACAUAUUACAAGUACAAUUUGGACGUGACCAAGGUAAUAGCAACGGUUACAGAUAAUGGCAGUAAUAUGAUUAAAGCAUAUGUAUUUGGUGUAAAAAUGAUAUAUUUUAGAAAAUUGAGCGAUAGUAAUGAUACUGACAAAAGCAAUAGCGAUUCAAGCGUUAAUAGUAUUCAAAGUGAAGAUUUAGAAAAUGAACUUUACAUUUUUCUUUAUAGUGUAAUGAUGUGCGUUUAAGCCAUCAUAUCUUUUAAAUGUAAAGUAUAUAAGAAAAUAAUUAUAAUAAUUAUUAGCCAUUAAGAUUAAGCACACACACAUUAAGAUAUCAUAUUAUAAGAACUCCAGUCUGCCGUUCAGGCGGCCUAUUGCGUGAUCUGUGUCUCAUCGUACGAACGGCAAGAGACUACACAGACCGUCUGGACAGUAAGACACAGUGAAUUAAUUAUAAACGUUUUUAAUAAUAAUUUAAUAUAUAUAUAUUAAUAUGUGUAAAAAGAAGGUGUUAAAUAAAAUUAAUAAAUAGUGAUUAAAAGAAAAAAGUUUUUUUUUCUGGAAUAUAAAUCGGUCACCUCAUUCCACAUAUCAGACGAAAGCCACGAUUUCAACGAACAAGUCGACACGGAAAUCAGAGAGGUAAUAUAAGUUAUGGUUAUUUAAUAAAUAAUGAAUUUAGAAAUAUGCAAUUUCCACUGAUUAACUAAGUAAUCCUCUUUUUCAAAUCACUACAAUAGGCAUAUUCAAUGUUGUGCUCAUACAUUGAGCCUUUGUGCUACCAGUGAUAUAAUAAAAACCAUAAAAUCAUCACCACAUCUCCAUGAAAUGCAUACUUAAGUCAUGCAAAAGUGUAGUACAUAAUGUCAUUAUGGAAUUUGACAAGUCGACCAAAAUCAGUAGAUAAUUCAGUCAAUUUUAGGACAUACAUUAUCACAACCUGGUGAGAUGAAGUGGAAUUUACUAUUUGACUCGUUAACUCAAAUUCAAAAAAUAAAAGAAAAAUUUAGUGAACUUACUAAAGCACUCAAUUUUAAGCAGUGAUCAUUUACUGUUUCUGACCAUAAUUACAUUGAGAAAUUUUUAUUUUGUGUUAAGCCUUGAUAAAUCACAAGCAUUGGGUAUAUUACAAGGAGAUAAAAAUGUAUUUUAUGGUAUGGUAACACUAUUAUGCUUAAAACAAAAAUUAACGGUAAUGAAAAGUGAAUAAUUAAUGUAUUAUAAGCUAAUUCAAAAAGGUCUUCAAGACAGCAUAGAAAAAAGAUUUUUUAAUAUUUUAAAUUGUAAUACAGUGGAAGCUAAUAUGCUAUUGCUGCUUUUUCUUACCCUAAGUUCAAAAAUAAGUGGUAUUCAUACAUCAUCUUCUCGUGAUAAACUUUUAUCAAUAUUUAAAAGAGCAGUAACAGCUGAAUCUGUAACUACUACUAGUGAAGAAAAUGUUGAAAUUGAAGAAGAUCACUCUGAUUUUUAUGACUGGUACAGCAACACAAAAUGACAGAACAGAUACAUCCACUUUAGCUGAGAUUGAAAAUUAGGGUAUUUUGAGGAACCACAUCAAUGUCUUGAAUGUCAACACUCAUGUCCUACAGUAAAAAAAUUUUUCUUCAAUACAAUUUUCCUGCAUCUUCAGCUCCGGUAGAGAGACUUUUCUCUUUUGCAAUGAUGACAAGUUUACCAUAGUCAAAUAAGUUGUCAGAUGAUUUAUUUGAGUAUAAAGUUGUAUUAAAAUCAAAUUUAAAUUAUCAAUUACAGAAUGGAAACUUUAAACUAAAAUUAAUCAUUAUUUACUA